rnacentral:tRNA from 1 species
GGCGCUGUGGCUGAAUGGCAAAGCGCUUGGCUUUUGAACAGGAGGGUCCCGGGUUCGAAUCCUGGUGAAGACU